rnacentral:rRNA from 1 species
CGUAGGUGGCAAGCGUUGUCCGGAUUUAUUGGGUUUAAAGGGUGCGUAGGCGGUCUUGUAAGUCAGUGGUGAAAUACGGCAGCUUAACUGUCGAGGUGCCAUUGAUACUGCAGGCCUUGAGUACAGACGAGGUAGGCGGAAUUGACGGUGUAGCGGUGAAAUGCUUAGAUAUCGUCAAGAACACCGAUAGCGAAGGCAGCUUACUAGACUGUAACUGACGCUGAUGCACGAAAGUGUGGGGAUCAAACAGGAUUAGAUACCCUGGUAGUCCACACUGUAAACGAUGAUUACUCGAUGUUGGCGAUACACAGCCAGCGUCUUAGCGAAAGCGAUAAGUAAUCCACCUGGGGAGUACGCCGGCAACGGUG